UAUCAACGUAUAAUACGCGCGGAUUACUGUGUCCUAGGCCCUGUGCGGGGAUAUCAACCUGGUGCUGUCGGCAAUGCUGAAUAUAUAUAUAUAUAUAUAUAUAUAUACUCGUAUAUACGACGAGGUCAGCGACGGUCAAAUACCGCAUGUUUAUGAAAAUAAAGUACCAAAUAUGAAAAAGAAGCUUGAAGAAUUAUACUACGGUCUGAAUUUCAAGGGAUGUUAAGAGAAGGAACAAGGGGAAUUUCUGAAUAUAUUUGUCAAUUGACGUUUUUGAGGACAUUGAAAAACCUAACGAUUUCUCUGCAUACAUAUAAGCAGCAUCGCUUUCUGAUGUAUACAUUACAAUUUGUUUUUUCAUUACUUUGAUUUUUAGCUAUUGUACAACAAAUUAUUGCUUUCGAGGACUUCGCAAAUGUAUAUACAAAUAAUUUAUAUAUAAUGGUGUUUUCGAGGACAUUUAUAUAUAAACGGUCUACUUAUCAAAUUAUUGCUUUCGAGGACUUCGCAAAUGUAUAUACAAAUAAUUUAUAUAUAAUAGUGUUUUCGAGGACAUUUACAUAUAACAUUUACAUUUACAUGUACAUUUGUGACAGUUUAAAUAAAGUUUAAAUAAAG